CCUACGGGUGGCAGCAGUGGGGAAUAUUGCGCAAUGGGCGAAAGCCUGACGCAGCGACGCCGCGUGAGGGAUGAAGGUCUUCGGAUCGUAAACCUCUGUCAGCAGGGAAGAACGGUCACUGUGCUAAUCAGCCGUGAAUUGACGGUACCUGCAAAGGAAGCACCGGCUAACUCCGUGCCAGCAGCCGCGGUAAUACGGAGGGUGCGAUCGUUAAUCGGAAUUACUGGGCGUAAAGCGCUCGUAGGCGGUAUGUUAAGUCAAUGGUGAAAUCCCCGCGCUCAACGUGGGAACUGCCUUUGAAACUGGGAAACUAGAGUGUGUGAGAGGGUAGUGGAAUUCCAGGUGUAGGAGUG
rnacentral:rRNA from 1 species